rnacentral:tmRNA from 1 species
GGGGCUGACUUGGAUUUCGACAGAUUUCUUGUCGCACAGAUAGCAUGCCAAGCGCUACUUGUAAAACAGCAACAAAAAUAACUGUAAACAACACAGAUUACGCUCCAGCUUACGCUAAAGCUGCGUGAGUUAAUCUCCUUUUGGAGCUGGACUGAUUAGAAUUUCUAGCGUUUUAAUCACUCCAUAACCUUAAGCUAGACGCUUUUAAAAGGUGGUUCGCCUUUUAAACUAAGAAACAAGAACUCUUGAAACUACCUCAAGGUUUUAGAAAGUUGGACCAGAGCUAGUUUUAAGGCUAAAAAACUAAUCAAUUUUCUAAGCAUUGUAGAAGUUUGUGUUUAGGGCAAGAUUUUUGGACUGGGGUUCGAUUCCCCACAGCUCCACCA